CAAACUGGAGAUGGCGACCGGCGCACGGGUGAGUAACACGUAUCCAACCUGCCGAUGACUCGGGGAUAGCCUUUCGAAAGAAAGAUUAAUACCCGAUGGCAUAGUUCUUCCGCAUGGUAGAACUAUUAAAGAAUUUCGGUCAUCGAUGGGGAUGCGUUCCAUUAGGUUGUUGGCGGGGUAACGGCCCACCAAGCCUUCGAUGGAUAGGGGUUCUGAGAGGAAGGUCCCCCACAUUGGAACUGAGACACGGUCCAAACUCCUACGGGAGGCAGCAUG
rnacentral:rRNA from 1 species